CCCUUAGAUGUUCUGGGCCGCACGCGCGCUACACUGAUGCAUUCAACGAGUCUAAAACCUGCUCUGAUAGGGGUGGGUAAUCUUUUGAAUGUGCAUCGUGAUUGGGAUAGAUGAUUGCAAUUUUUCAUCUUCAACGAGGAAUGCCUAGUAAACGCAAGUCAUCAGCUUGCAUUGAUUACGUCCCUGCCCUUUGUACACACCGCCCGUCGCUCCUACCGAUUGAAUGAUCCGAUGAAUAUCAUGGAUUGAGGAUGCAAGUAGGUUAGCCUAUCUUCAUCUUCGAGAAGUGAAGUAAAUCUUAACAUUUAGAGGAAGGAGAAGUCGUAACA
rnacentral:rRNA from 1 species